AUUUAUAUAGGUUAAAAAUAAACCAUUAUAUUUUCAAUAUAAAAAUAAUAAUAAAAUUAUUUUAUUUAUAAAUA
rnacentral:tRNA from 1 species